GACGAACGUUGGCGGCGUGCUUAACACAUGCAAGUCGAACGGAAAGGCCCUGCUUUUGUGGGGUGCUCGAGCGGCGAACGGGUGAGUAACACGUGAGUAACCUGCCCUUGACUUUGGGAUAACUUCAGGAAACUGGGGCUAAUACCGGAUAGGAGCUCCUGCUGCAUGGUGGGGGUUGGAAAGUUUCGGCGGUUGGGGAUGGACUCGCGGCUUAUCAGCUUGUUGGUGGGGUAGUGGCUUACCAAGGCUUUGACGGGUAGCCGGCCUGAGAGGGUGACCGGCCACAUUGGGACUGAGAUACGGCCCAGACUCCUACGGGAGGCAGCAGUGGGGAAUAUUGCACAAUGGGCGGAAGCCUGAUGCAGCAACGCCGCGUGCGGGAUGACGGCCUUCGGGUUGUAAACCGCUUUCGCCUGUGACGAAGCGUGAGUGACGGUAAUGGGUAAAGAAGCACCGGCUAACUACGUGCCAGCAGCCGCGGUGAUACGUAGGGUGCGAGCGUUGUCCGGAUUUAUUGGGCGUAAAGGGCUCGUAGGUGUUGAUCGCGUCGGAAGUGUAAUCUUGGGGCUUAACCCUGAGCGUGCUUUCGAUACGGGUUGACUUGAGGAAGGUAGGGGAGAAUGGAAUUCCUGGUGGAGCGGUGGAAUGCGCAGAUAUCAGGAGGAACACCAGUGGCGAAGGCGGUUCUCUGGGCCUUUCCUGACGCUGAGGAGCGAAAGCGUGGGGAGCGAACAGGCUUAGAUACCCUGGUAGUCCACGCUGUAAACGGUGGGUACUAGGUGUGGGGUCCAUUCCACGGGUUCCGUGCCGUAGCUAACGCUUUAAGUACCCCGCCUGGGGAGUACGGCCGCAAGGCUAAAACUCAAAGGAAUUGACGGGGCCCCGCACAAGCGGCGGAGCAUGCGGAUUAAUUCGAUGCAACGCGUAGAACCUUACCUGGGUUUGACAUGGAUCGGGAGUGCUCAGAGAUGGGUGUGCCUCUUUUGGGGUCGGUUCACAGGUGGUGCAUGGCUGUCGUCAGCUCGUGUCGUGAGAUGUUGGGUUAAGUCCCGCAACGAGCGCAACCCUUGUUCACUGUUGCCAGCACGUUAUGGUGGGGACUCAGUGGAGACCGCCGGGGUCAACUCGGAGGAAGGUGGGGAUGACGUCAAGUCAUCAUGCCCCUUAUGUCCAGGGCUUCACGCAUGCUACAAUGGCUGGUACAGAGAGUGGCGAGCCUGUGAGGGUGAGCGAAUCUCGGAAAGCCGGUCUCAGUUCGGAUUGGGGUCUGCAACUCGACCUCAUGAAGUCGGAGUCGCUAGUAAUCGCAGAUCAGCAACGCUGCGGUGAAUACGUUCCCGGG
rnacentral:rRNA from 1 species